AUCAAAGUGGAUUCUAGCUUAUAGCAACCCUGUAUGACAGAGUAGAACUGAGCCAAGUUCUUAACUGCUGUGCUACUAGGGCUUCAACAAUUGGGUAGGGCUAUGCAAAUAAGGUACCUGUGGCCUACCAAGGGGGUUGGACAGCUUGCUAAUAAUGCAAUUAAGGUGCAUGGAACUCUGUGAGGGUAGGGACCAUGCAAAUAAGAUAUAUGGAGCCCUAACGAGGGGGUUGGUCAGUUUUGCCAUUCCAGUAGGCUUAAAAUCCCAGAGGUGGAAGGGAGUACCUGACUACCACCAAGAAGAGAGAUGAGUGGAGCGUAUCCUCUGCAGCAUGGAUCCCUAUGCUGAGGCCCUCCUAGGCCCAGGAGACAGAGAAAGAAGAGAGCCGCAACACCAAAGACAGCAAGAUGGCAAGAAGCAGCGGCAGAGCAAUGGUGGCAGCAGAACCAGGAGACUAGCAGGAAGGGCAAGUCUGGAAGCUCGGCUGAAAUCCGUUCAGCAUCACAGCGACACACAAGCCUCCCCUGACAGACAGAUGGUGGCUGGACAUGAGGUACGCUGACCAGGAUUCAAACCCAGCUCUUCUGCAUGGAAGCUUUUGGGUACAUAUGAAGCUAUUGAAAACACCAUGUUGUGAGGUGUGCAACCCCCAUGCAGUGAACAAUUUGACAUUUGGUCCUGGCUCCUGAGAGCUGAAACAUGCCUGAGACCAACGAGUGGGGCUGACCAGACCAGGAGUGACCACCUGGGGGCCUGAAGCUGACUGAACCUCAGGAGGCAUGAUGUCAUCUAUCGUGGCCAUGUGGCGAGGCCAAUAAAGGCCUUGGAAGACAAAGGCUCAAUAGUGCUUCCUAGGUAGAGAGAGGGAACAUCUGCUUUCAGGAGAAUAAGU